UGAAUGUGUUCUGAGCCA
rnacentral:misc_RNA from 1 species